GCCUCUGUAGUGUAAUGGAUCACCACGGGAGACCGGAUAUCUGUAAGUGCGGGUUCGAGUACCGCCUGAGGUU
rfam:Dictyocaulus viviparus strain HannoverDv2000 D_viviparus-1.0_Cont229.10, whole genome shotgun sequence.